rnacentral:tRNA from 1 species
GCCUAGGUGGCUCAGUGGUUGAGCAUCUGCCUUCAGCUCAGGUUGUGAUCUCGGGUUCCUGGGAUCAAGUCCCACAUUGGGCU